GACGAACGCUGGCGGCGUGCUUUACACAUGCAAGUCGAACGGUGAAGGUGGAGCUUGCUCCGCCGGAUCAGUGGCGAACGGGUGAGUAACACGUGGGCAACCUGCCCCUAACUUUGGGAUAACUACUCGAAAGAGUAGCUAAUACCGGAUACGAAGUCUGUAGGCAUCUACGGAUUUGGAAAGUUUUUCGGUUAGGGAUGGGCCCGCGGCCUAUCAGCUUGUUGGUGAGGUAGUGGCUCAACAAGGCGACGACGGGUAGCCGGCCUGAGAGGGCGACCGGCCACACUGGGACUGAGACACGGCCCAGACUCCUACGGGAGGCAGCAGUGGGGAAUAUUGCGCAAUGGGCGAAAGCCUGACGCGGCAACGCCGCGUGCGGGAUGAAGGCCUUCGGGUUGUAAACCGCUUUCAGCAGGGAAGAAGCGAAAGUGACGGUACCUGCAGAAGAAGCACCGGCUAACUACGUGCCAGCCGCCGCGGUAA
rnacentral:rRNA from 1 species